AUUAAAAAUUAAAAUGUAAAAUAUAAAAACACAACUAUAACAGAACAACUGUGGUCAAUAAAUUAAAAAAUACAAAAAUUUAAAAACAUAAAAAUUAAAAUUAUGACCAUACCUACUUUACUGAACAAUCUUUCGCAUGGAACUGAGGUAGCUGUUACAUAUAGGCGUUUUCUUACCAAUAUAAACAGACGUGGAUAUAAUGCUUUGUAUACAGUCCACCAUUUCAAGGGAUCUUCAAAUCUGUUUAUAAGUGGCUCCUAGCAAUGAUGUAGAAGGAGUAAAAGAAGAAACAGAAGUAGAUGGAUUUUCAACUAUGGUUGAUGUAGUUGGAUUAGCUGUACCAGGCAAAGUCACUUGACAGACUUACCUCUUCAACUGAUCAAUUGCUAACUCCAAUUUCCGUUGGUUAAAUCCAUUAAAUGCCAUCUUUUUAAACCUUGGAACAAGAAGAGCUACCUAUGUCACAAUUUCAUUAUCUUCGUAGCUUGAAAAUCUGGAAUUUAAUUUUUCCAAUAAUAUCGUGACCAAAUCUUGAGCUUCAUUUGUGGUUUUGAUUGAUUGAAAUAACCUGAUAGUGUGGUCUGUCCAUUUGUACAAUGCCGUGAUGUUCCUGAUGGUCCAGCAGUGGUUUGAGG